rnacentral:rRNA from 1 species
AGUGAACGCUGGCGGUAGGCCUAACACAUGCAAGUCGAACGGCAGCACAGUAAGAGCUUGCUCUUACGGGUGGCGAGUGGCGGACGGGUGAGGAAUACAUCGGAAUCUACUUUUUCGUGGGGGAUAACGUAGGGAAACUUACGCUAAUACCGCAUACGACCUACGGGUGAAAGCAGGGGAUCUUCGGACCUUGCGCGAUUGAAUGAGCCGAUGUCGGAUUAGCUAGUUGGCGGGGUAAAGGCCCACCAAGGCGACGAUCCGUAGCUGGUCUGAGAGGAUGAUCAGCCAAACUGGAACUAGGAAACGGUCCAGACUCCUAGGGGAGGCAGCAGUGGGGAAUAUUGGACAAUGGGCGAAAGCCUGAUCCAGCCAUACCGCGUGGGCGAAGAAGGCCUUCGGGUUGUAAAGCCCUUUUGUUGGGAAAGAAAAGCAGCAGGUUAAUACCCCGCUGUUCUGACGGUACCCAAAGAAUAGGCACCGGCUAACUUCGU